rnacentral:misc_RNA from 1 species
UAGAGUAACGGGCAGCCAUGG